rnacentral:rRNA from 1 species
GGUCAGGACGAACGCUGGCGGCGUGCUUAACACAUGCAAGUCGAGCGAUGAAGCUCUUCGGAAGUGGAUUAGCGGCGGACGGGUGAGUAACACGUGGGUAACCUGCCUCAUAGAGGGGAAUAGCCUUCCGAAAGGAAGAUUAAUACCGCAUAAGAUUGUAAUAUCGCAUGAUAUAGCAAUUAAAGGAGUAAUCCGCUAUGAGAUGGACCCGCGUCGCAUUAGCUAGUUGGUGAGGUAACGGCUCACCAAGGCGACGAUGCGUAGCCGACCUGAGAGGGUGAUCGGCCACAUUGGGACUGAGACACGGCCCAGACUCCUACGGGAGGCAGCAGUGGGGAAUAUUGCACAAUGGGGGGAAACCCUGAUGCAGCAAACCGCCGCGUGAGUGAUGACGGUCUUCGGAUUGUAAAGCUCUGUCUUCAGGGACGAUAAUGACGGUACCUGAGGAGGAAGCCACGGCUAACUACGUGCCAGCAGCAGC